GUGGGAGGGGGCUUGCCCCCGAUAGCAGUAGACCAGUCAAUAUUUUCGGUGACUGAUACACCGCCAUCGGGGGCAAGCCCCCUCCCAC
rnacentral:misc_RNA from 1 species